rnacentral:rRNA from 1 species
ACGCGUGGGAACAUACCCUUUCCUGCGGAACUAGCUCCGGGACAACUGGACAUUAACUACCUGCNUACGCCCUACGGGGUGAAAGAUUUAUCGUGAGGAAGUGAUUGGCCCUGACUGGUUGGAUUAGCUAGAUUUGUGGGGUAAGAGUGCCUACCAAUGGCGACGAUCCAUAGCUGGUCUGAGAGUGAUGAGUCAGCCAGCCUUGGGACUGAGACACGGCCCAAACUCCAUACAGUGGAGUGCAGCAGUUGGUGGAAUAUUGGACAAUGGGCGCAAGCCUGAUCCAGACCAUAGCCGCNGUGAGUGAUGAAGGCCNUAGGGUUGUANNANGCUCUUUCACCGAUAAAGAUAAUGACGAGUANAUCGAGAGAAGAAGACCCCGAGAUAACUACGNGCCAAGNAAGACGCAGGANCAUACGAAGGGGGCUANACAGUAGUAACGNNAAUAACUGGGANGUAAAGCGCACGUAAGCGAGAUAUANNAAGAUCACGGGGUGAAAAUCCACGCACGACUCAACUGCGGAACUGCC